AGUGAACGCUGGCGGUAGGCCUAACACAUGCAAGUCGAACGGCAGCACAGUAAGAGCUUGCUCUUACGGGUGGCGAGUGGCGGACGGGUGAGGAAUACAUCGGAAUCUACUUUUUCGUGGGGGAUAACGUAGGGAAACUUACGCUAAUACCGCAUACGACCUACGGGUGAAAGCAGGGGAUCUUCGGACCUUGCGCGAUUGAAUGAGCCGAUGUCGGAUUAGCUAGUUGGCGGGGUAAAGGCCCACCAAGGCGACGAUCCGUAGCUGGUCUGAGAGGAUGAGAGGCCACAGUGGAACUGAGACACGGUCGAGACUCCUACGGGAGGCAGCAGUGGGGAUGAUUGGAGAAUGGGCGCGAGCCUGAUCCAGCCAUAGCGCGUGGAGAAAGAAGGCAGGCGUGUUGUAAAGCCUUUUUGUUGGAAAAGAAAAGCAGCAGGUGAAUACCCCGCUGUUCUGACGGUACCCAAAGAAUAAGAACCGCCAAGCUUCGUG
rnacentral:rRNA from 1 species